rnacentral:snoRNA from 1 species
GCACAGUAAUGGACUUUUGGUGGGCCCUUCUCUGUGGGCGUCUCACAGUGCGCCCACGCCAGAGUAAAUUACAGCCUGGAACCACUGCCCGGCCUCCCGAUCUGUGGUUUGGGAGCACGGUGUGGGAAAAGUA